rnacentral:lncRNA from 1 species
AAUUCUCUCAUGAUUUUCUCCUGAUUUGCACUGCUCUCUUGGUAAAAGAGAGAGUAAUUUCCUAGAUUCCUGGAUUGUGAUGAUUAACAUACAAUUCUUUAGCUAUUUUUUCCUAGUGUCUCGAUUGUUUUGACUAUAAAUGCAUACUUUAAGGAUUUCUACAGGGCAAAAUAGAAGUAUAACCUUUCUUGUAACUUAUGUAAGAUAGCAUUAGCUAAUUUUGGUUGUUAAUUGGUAUGAGAUCAUAAGUAGCCAAACUAAUUUAUUUAAAUAAGGUUUUUAGUUCUAUUGCCUUACCAAUUUUCCAGAUGGAUCUAAUUAUCUAAAAUGUAUAUUAUCUAAUUUAAUUGCAGUGUUGCCAGACAACCACCUCUUCCAGAUCUAGUUGCCACAUCUUGUGACGUUGUUCAUAGAUACACAUAAACCCAAUAAAGGUGUACAGAAGGUCUGCCUUUACUGUAGGCAACUCUUGGCCUUAUUAUCUCCCAUAAUUGACACUACCACAAAAGUGGUGUUUAUUCUACUGGUAUAGGUCACUACCAUAACCAUAUGUUAUAGCUCUGAAUGGUGGUUUCUAACGGACAAUAACUAUUGUUUUAUCAUGCUGCAUUUUGUGGAUUUUGUUUCCAAACUGUGUGUGCAAGUAACACCAUUUACAGCCAUUGUUACCCUGUUUAAAGAAGAUCGUUCACAUUGUAGAUCUGCUGGAGCAACAGUGGAUGGCACCACAAACCGAGGGAGCCUGUUCGAUGUCUUGACCUCCCGUACUACAGCUAACGAAAUAAUUGGAAUUGUUCCUCUGAGUGGUGUGUGGCCCUCUUUUGUAUCCCCCUAUUACUACCAUACAUUGUAUUCCGUUACACUAUUGUAUCCAGUUGAACUUGAUGGAAUACAUUAUGCAAAUCUGUGCCUGCUUCUUGUGUAUCAGCAAGAGAGAUCUCUGAAACGUAAGCGCUACUGCAGAGUUACUGAUUAAAGUCAGAUGCAGUCGAACGCUAGCAUAGCCCAUCCUUUGUGAGGGGAAAGGGUGGUGUGGAUAAUACGGAGCCUUAAUGGCUAACUUAUCCUUAACAAUGCAGAACGAUUAAAAUUUGCUGAUUCUAAAGAGCUAUCAGCAGUUUUCGGUGACCAACAUAGGUAAUGCUCUCUGAGAGUAGGUAAUAAAUACAUAGCGAUGCUGAAGGGGGAGGAGAAA